UGGUGGAGUGAUUUGUCUGGUUAAUUCCGAUAACGAACGAGACCUUUACCUUUACUGCUGAGGGGGCGUGGUCCAUGCGGAUCAGGCUGCCCG
rnacentral:rRNA from 1 species